CCUACGGGAGGCAGCAGUGGGGAAUAUUGCGCAAUGGGCGAAAGCCUGACGCAGCGACGCCGCGUGAGGGAUGAAGGUCUUCGGAUCGUAAACCUCUGUCAGCAGGGAAGAACGGUCACUGUGCUAAUCAGCAGUGAAUUGACGGUACCUGCAACGGAAGCACCGGCUAAAUCCGUGUCAGCAGCCGCGGUAAUACGGAGGGUGCGAGCGUUAAUCGGAAUUACUGGUGGUAAAGCGCUCGUAGGCGGUAUGUCAAGUCAAGGGGGACAUCCCCGCGCUCAACGUGGGAACUGCCUUUGAAACUGGCGAACUGGAGUGUGGGAGAGGAUAGUGGAAUGCCAGGUGUAGGAGUGAAAUCCGUAGAUAUCGGGAGGAACAUCAGUGGCGAAGGCGACUAUCUGGCACAUAACUGACGCUGAGGAGCGAAAGCGUGGGUAGCAAACAGGAUUAGAUACCCUUGUAGUC
rnacentral:rRNA from 1 species